rnacentral:rRNA from 1 species
AUUGAACGCUGGCGGCAGGCUUAACACAUGCAAGUCGAGCGGAGAUGAGGUGCUUGCACCUUAUCUUAGCGGCGGACGGGUGAGUAAUGCUUAGGAAUCUGCCUAUUAGUGGGGGACAACAUUCCGAAAGGAAUGCUAAUACCGCAUACGUCCUACGGGAGAAAGCAGGGGAUCUUCGGACCUUGCGCUAAUAGAUGAGCCUAAGUCGGAUUAGCUAGUUGGUGGGGUAAAGGCCUACCAAGGCGACGAUCUGUAGCGGGUCUGAGAGGAUGAUCCGCCACACUGGGACUGAGACACGGCCCAGACUCGUACGGGAGGCAGCAGUGGGGAAUAUUGGACAAUGGGGGGAACCCUGAUCCAGCCAUGCCGCGUGUGUGAAGAAGGCCUUAUGGUUGUAAAGCACUUUAAGCGAGGAGGAGGCUACUGAGACUAAAACUCUUGGAUAGUGGACGUUACUCGCAGAAUAAGCACCGGCUAACUCUGUGCCAGCAGCCGCCGUAAGAC